CUCACAGUGACUCAACACUGCAGAUAAGAUGCUGCCUCUGUUCAUAUCAGUGCUGAUGGCUGCUGUGUGUCUCGAAUCCACAGCACAAAAAGACAAUGUGCUGCAACCAAAAGGAGGUGUGAGUUCUGCUGAAGGAGAGGCAGCAACACUUGACUGUCUGUAUAACAGCACUUCACCAAAUCCAUAUCUCUACUGGUACAAACAGGAUGGAAACAACAGCCCCGAAUUCAUCCUGAGCAGAGUUAGACUGGAUGAAGGGAACACAGCAGACGACCACAAGAAGAGAUUUUCAUCCACACUGAACUCCACCUUCAGAUCAGUUCCUCUGAAGAUCCAGAAGCUUCAUCUGUCAGACUCUGCUGUGUACUACUGUGCUCUGAGGCCCACAGUGACAGGAAACAGCAAAACUCUGUACAAAAACCUUUGGAACAAAGACAACAGAAAACUCCACAACAUCCACUAGAGGGAGACACACUCUGUUACACUUCUGUGGUUUCUAGAAUUCAGUUGAGA